rnacentral:rRNA from 1 species
UACGGAGGGUGCGAGCGUUGUCCGGAAUCAUUGGGCGUAAAGGGCGCGUAGGUGGGCGCGGCAAGCGUGCGGUGAAAGCUCGGGGCUCAACCCCGAGUCGGCCGUGCGAACUGCUGGGGCUUGAGCACUGUAGAGGCAGGCGGAAUUCCGGGUGUAGCGGUGGAAUGCGUAGAGAUCCGGAAGAACACCGGUGGCGAAGGCGGCCUGCUGGGCAGUAGCUGACACUGAGGCGCGACAGCGUGGGAGCA